CUACGAGCUGCCUGAGCUUCAUCCUAGGAGUAUUUGUCCUAGUUUAUUGAAGCUGCAUGCUUUAUGUAUUGGUGUACCUACCUCGAUCUUCUGCCAAAGUGGUCUACUUUACUAGGCAACUAAACCUUCACAGGAUCGUUAGUAUCUUCCUCGUUGAGAUCGACAUGGUUUCAUUGGAAAUGUAUACGGUCUUCGAAAUCUAAAACGCCCGGGAAUUAGUCGUUCCGUUCUGACACGAAGCCUUCAUCUCCUCAUCUCCUCUAGAGAUCCACGGGGUGAUCGCAAAAACCCUUGGAUGAAUCAUGAAGACCGCAACUUAUCUGGAGGUCUAUCUAAUUGUCGUCGUAUACCCCGUGUCUCUUAAGGCUGCAGUUAAUAACUUACGGCCUUUAAGGCAAGUCUAUCAUGGACCAAAGCAGAUGAACAUCAGGGACUUUAUUACGGAGGCAACUAGGGCAACGCCAUCUAAUCUCAAUUUGACUGAUGAAGGAGGUGACCUUCGUGCCAACGGUGUUGAUGUUAUUGAUGAAGAGUUCAUCGUCAUUGCUUCAGACGCACAACAGCAACAACAACAAUCAUCUAAUAGAACACAACAAGCUGAAAAGUACAUAGUC